rnacentral:rRNA from 1 species
UGUGGUUUAUUCGAAGCAACGCGAAGAACCUUACCAGGUCUUGACAUCCUCUGACAACCCUAGAGAUAGGGCUUUCCCCUUCGGGGGACAGAGUGACAGGUGGUGCAUGGUUGUCGUCAGCUCGUGUCGUGAGAUGUUGGGUUAAGUCCCGCAACGAGCGCAACCCUUGAUCUUAGUUGCCAGCAUUCAGUUGGGCACUCUAAGGUGACUGCCGGUGACAAACCGGAGGAAGGUGGGGAUGACGUCAAAUCAUCAUGCCCCUUAUGACCUGGGCUACACACGUGCUACAAUGGAUGGUACAAAGGGCUGCAAACCUGCGAAGGUAAGCGAAUCCCAUAAAGCCAUUCUCAGUUCGGAUUGCAGGCUGCAACUCGCCUGCAUGAAGCCGGAAUCGCUAGUAAUCGCGGAUCAGCAUGCCGCGGUGAAUACGUUCCCGGGCCUUGUACACACCGCCCGUCACACCACGAGAGUUUGUAACACCCGAAGUCGGUGAGGUAACCUUCAUGGAGCCAGCCGCCUAAGGUGGGACAGAUGAUUGGGGUGAAGUCGUAACAAGGUAGCCGUAUCGGAAGGUGCGGUG